GGGCGGCGACGAUGGCGGGCGCUCCUGGGCUUUCAGCGUGUAGUACGCAGGGGAGCCCCCCGGGGCCUCGAGAGUGAGGUCAUGAUCUCGCUGAAGCACGUGGAGGCAGCGCCGUCAUGAGCUCGACGCAAUAUCGGGAAGCUUAGUUCGGUGCGAUGGUCACUUGGUGCAAUUGCCCGUCGUCGUCGAGCCGCGCAGACUUGCGCACGAUAUGCACGCCGGGCGUAAGGACAGGAGGGUCCCAUGGCCAUCGAUAUCCUCGACUUACUCAAGUCCGCCUUUGGCAGUCCCGUGACACGUCAGGUGAGUACCGUUUUUGGAGACUCUGAAGAAGCCACACGCAGCGGCCUGCGUUCGAGCUUCUCGGCACUGCUUGCCGGUGUCGUGCACAAGAGCACCAC
rnacentral:misc_RNA from 1 species